rnacentral:misc_RNA from 1 species
AAGGAUCAUUAUCGAGUUUUGACCGGGUUGUAGCUGGCCUUCCGAGGCAUGUGCACGCCCUGCUCAUCCACUCUACACCUGUGCWCUUACUGUGGGCUUCAGAUUGCGAGGCACGCUCUUUACCGGGCUUGCGGAGCAUAUCUGUGCCUGCGUUUAUCACAAACUCUAUAAAGUAACAGAAUGUGUAUUGCGAUGUAACACAUCUAU